UACGUAGGGGGCAAGCGUUGUCCGGAUUUACUGGGCGUAAAGAGCGCGCAGGCGGUCGUUCAAGUCGCGUGUGAAAGCCCCCGGCUCAACUGGGGAGGGUCACGCGAUACUGACCGACUCGAAGGCAGGAGAGGGUAGUGGAAUUCCCGGUGUAGUGGUGAAAUGCGUAGAUAUCGGGAGGAACACCAGUGGCGAAGGCGACUACCUGGCCUGUUCUUGACGCUGAGGCGCGAAAGCUAGGGGAGCAAACGGG
rnacentral:rRNA from 1 species